UACGAAGGGGGCAAGCGUUGUUCGGAAUUACUGGGCGUAAAGCGUGCGCAGGCGGUUGUGCAAGACAGAUGUGAAAUCCCCAGGCUCAACCUGGGAACUGCAUCCGAUACUGGAUGGCUUGAAUUCGGGAGAGGGAUGCAGAAUUCCAGGUGUAGCGGUGAAAUGCGUAGAUAUCUGGAGGAAUACCGGUGGCGAAGGCGGCAUCCUGGACCGACAUUGACGCUGAGGAGCGAAAGCCAGGGGAGCAAACGGG
rnacentral:rRNA from 1 species